AUACGGGGGGAGCGAGCGUUGUUCGGAAUCACUGGGCGUAAAGGGCGUGUAGGCGGUUUGGUAAGUGAGGUGUGAAAGCCCCCGGCUCACCCGGGGAGGGUCAUCUCAUACUGCUGAACUUGAGUGCGGAAGAGGAUGAGGGAAUUCCUGGUGUGGCGGUGAAAUGCGUAGAUAUCAGGAGGAACACCGGUGGCGAAGGCGCUCCUCUGGUCCGUUUCUGACGCUGAGGCGCGAAAGCUAGGGGAGCGAACGGGAGUAGAAACCCCGGUAGUCC
rnacentral:rRNA from 1 species